CAGAAGACGACGCUGAGAGUCGCGACUUUCAUGAACUGGGAGCGAGAUUUGAGGUGCUGGAGAGGGACGAGCUUGAGGAAGACGAUGGAGAGGUAGCUGAGGAUGGCGCAGGCGGACAUGUGGCACAUCGUGAGGAAGAUGGGGAAUUUGAAUCCGUAGUUUGAGAGGAGGAACUUGUUGAGGAGAAGGACGCCGAUGUUGGAGGUGUACCAGAGGAUGAUUAGGGAUAAUAUGAAGAGGGUUUGUUUCUUCGGGGAAGAUGAUGAAGAAGACGACGAUGAGGACAUUUCUGGUUUUUGAUCUGGGUUCUUCUUGUUGUUGUUCAUCUUCUUCGUUGAUGAGAUGAAAUCGAAAUGUGGUUGGAGUUUUUGAUAGGAGACGAGAUAAAUUAGCUCCUUGCCUCGUGCAUGGGGAUGAGAGAAAGUAUUGAACUGUUGUGUUAGUAAACGUAAUUAAUGCAACAUUAUUAAAUUUAUAAGACAAUUGAUCAUCUUAAAAGCAAUUUAGGAUUUUUUUUUUUUGUCAAAUUGGUAUUCAUGGCAGUUUGUUUUCCUCGGAUUAGGUAAGAAAUUUGGAUAAUUGGUCCACGAUCUAGAUUUAUUAUUUGUUAAGACAUGUGUUUUGUUUUCAGUUGUCUUUGAAUGCAAAUCUUCUGUUUUUGUAUGUUAAAUGAACUCUUACGUGUUAUAUACUACUCCCGAAUAUAUAUGACUUGGCUAAUAAGAUCGUUUCAGUUCCAAAGAGAGAGUCCCUUGAAGCUUCCGAACAUCGUGGCUUGAUUCCAGGCAGCGGAACGGGACAAUAGCGGCUUCAUCGACGACGACAAAGAGCUUCAGGGGGAAUGCUGGUGUAUUGGGUUGAGUCGAGCUAUAUAUUUAACUUUUUGCGGUUUUACGCCUACAUGAGAAUUACGGUUAGUCGAUCGAGGUCUUAACCAAUGACUUUUUGUUGUUGCUUCGCUUUUUCUCUGAGCUAUCCCAUGGCCGGUCAGCCAUCCACCUUUCCAACCAGCUCCAACCCUAAGCCGGGCUGUUAGGAUCCAUGAACAGCGUGUUUUCAGGUUUCAGGUUGCUCUUCAAGUCUUGCUGCAAGUAUAAGCCAGAUAAUAUCAUUAGGCAUUUAUACCAACCCGAUGCUACUGGCUACAAUUGUGAAGAUAUCAAACUUCAGGCCUCAUAGAAUUUUAAGGAGCUUUUAAAGACUGCAUUGUCUAGAAGUUCAACUUUAAUGGUCUUGCACGUUUCUAAAUGAUUACACAUAAGCCUCUAAACCCCUAAGUAUAAUAGCAUAGAAGAUAUAUCUGGUACACAUGAGAGUACCUGAUGUGUGAAUGCAUAAGCCAAUGCUCUUUUCCUUCUCAUUGUCGUCUCGUACUUAUUCAACAAACCUCCUUUGAGUGAUUGAUGUUGUUCCAGUUACAAAGGGUUGAAAAGCUAAUGCAUUCCCAAGAUCCACUCAUACGAAGUGACUGAGUUACAAAAAACGCUGGGCAGGAUAAUGAAACUUGGAAGUGGUAAAUGACAACUGCAUCUGAGAGUACACAAAAGUGACACUUUUAAUGCCUCUAAUCUCUUUAGCAUGAUUCUGAAGAAGUUACUUAUGGCCAGCCUGAUUCUCUUCUUACAUCAUGAUUCUCCUGGAACAGAUUUGUGACUGUACACGAAUGAGAAUCUAGAUAAAUUUAAGGUCAUUUGCAGCUAACUUAUUCCCUUAACUAAUUCAUUGAUUAAGGGAAUUAUUAGUUGAUGAAAAUCGCAAGGUCUCUGUUUUUGGGUCUUAAGGGUGUUUACCCCACUAGCGAUCACGACACCGGUAACAACAGGGACGAGAGCACCAUAAGUAAUCCAAGCCUCUCUCUUAAACGUCAUGAGAUACGCAAACAGCGCUGUGAAAAACGGCGUCGUAGCCCCCACGGCUUGAUUAAACGAAACAGGAAGAUAACGAAGGGAGACGUUUCCUCCAACAACGGAGGCGCAGAAGACGACGCUGAGAGUCGCGACUUUCAUGAACUGGGAGCGAGAUUUGAGGUGCUGGAGAGGGACGAGCUUGAGGAAGACGAUGGAGAGGUAGCUGAGGAUGGCGCAGGCGGACAUGUGGCACAUCGUGAGGAAGAUGGGGAAUUUGAAUCCGUAGUUUGAGAGGAGGAACUUGUUGAGGAGAAGGACGCCGAUGUUGGAGGUGUACCAGAGGAUGAUUAGGGAUAAUAUGAAGAGGGUUUGUUUCUUCGGGGAAGAUGAUGAAGAAGACGACGAUGAGGACAUUUCUGGUUUUUGAUCUGGGUUCUUCUUGUUGUUGUUCAUCUUCUUCGUUGAUGAGAUGAAAUCG
rnacentral:lncRNA from 1 species